rnacentral:rRNA from 1 species
CCUACGGGAGGCAGCAGUGGGGAAUUUUCCGCAAUGGGCGAAAGCCUGACGGAGCAAUACCGCGUGAGGGACGACGGCCUGUGGGUUGUAAACCUCUUUUCUCAAGGAAGAAGUUCUGACGGUACUGA